AUGCUGUUGCGAGCUGUUGGAAGACAAAUGACGUCGGUUAUUUUUAGGCAACAAACGGCCGUACGGAGCAUUGCGAUGAGCCGAGUUGCUCUUGGUGGUGGUGGACAUCAUCAUGAACCCACACCAGUAUACAUUCCAAAACCGGGCUCCCUUGACUGGACAUUCUUCAGCCGAUCGCACACAAAAUCUGCUCACGAAUUCGAACCGUAUAAGCCAGAAAUUGGAGCAUUCAUCGGAGCCGUCGCUUUCAUUGGGCUCACAUUGAUCGCUGUUGUGAUUAAGACUGACGUUUUUAAGAAGGAAGAUUCACAUGGACAUGGGCAUGGACAUGCUAAACAUUCUAAGAAGCAUGAGGAGAAGCAUGAGCAGAAGCAUGAGGAGAAAGAGCACGCAGAGCCGGAAAAGAAGGAAGAAGCUAAGCCGGAGAAACCAGCAGAGCCAAAGGAGCCUGAGCCAGCUCAGAAACAAGCCGAGCAGCCAGAGCAAGCCGAAGAGAAACAGGAAACUAAGGACGCUGAGCCAAAAGAGCAAGUUGAUGAUCGUCAAACUGAAGAAGCGGUUCAUGCUCGACGUGCUCCGGCGGCUGCGGAAGAACCAGCUCCAUCCACAUCGAAAGCUGAUGCUGUCGAGGAGAAGAGAUCCGAACAACAAUCGAUGAAGCCAUCAGAGUCUACAGAAGAGGUACCCAAAUCUGAAUAGUCUCACUUAAAUUCUUCUUCUGCAUCCAAAUAUUGCGUUUUUCUCCUCGUCCCGCUAGUGAAAUGUCUUUUUUUAGUUCAUUUCUCCCCACUUCACACCCACGCAAAAAUUUGAAAUUUUUCGGUUUUUCCAUUUUUUUUUUCGGUUUUUUUUCUGCUCCCCUCACACACACACACACACACACAUGUGCCUUUACGAUUUUAAAACGACAAUAUCAGAUUUAUGUUUCUCUCUUUUUUUUUAAGAAUAAAUGAGAUUUUUUGACAAUUUUCAAUUAAUAAAACAACUAGAUUUUCUUUCAGAACACCACCACCACCUCUGCCGACGGCCUACUACACUGCGAAUAUGUCAUUAUUGGAUCUGGAACGGCGGCCUAUUACGCAUCAUUGUCUAUUCGGGCCAAGCAGGCUGAAGCCAAAGUUUUGAUGAUUGGCGAAGAACCCGAACUUCCCUACAAUCGUCCACCACUCUCAAAAGAACUCUGGUGGUAUGGAGACGAAACAUCCGCAACGAAACUUGCCUAUACUCCAUUAUCCGGCAAAAAACGCGAUAUUUUCUAUGAAGUCGACGGAUUCUUUGUGUCACCCGAAGAUCUUCCAAAAGCAGUACACGGUGGAGUCGCGUUGUUGCGUGGGCGGAAGGCUGUCAAAAUUUGUGAAGAAGAUAAGAAGGUUAUUUUGGAGGAUGGAACAACUAUUGGAUAUGAUAAGUUAUUAAUUGCAACUGGAGUUCGACCGAAAAAGGAGCAAGUUUUCGAGGAAGCCAGUGAGGAGGCUAAGCAGAAAAUUACUUAUUUCCAUUAUCCAGCCGAUUUCAAACGAGUGGAGCGUGGCCUCGCAGACAAAUCUGUUCAAAAAGUGACAAUAAUUGGAAAUGGGCUUCUCGCCUCGGAACUUUCCUAUUCGAUUAAACGAAAAUAUGGAGAAAAUGUAGAAGUUCAUCAGGUUUUUGAAGAGAAAUAUCCAGCUGAAGAUAUUCUUCCCGAGCAUAUUGCUCAAAAAUCGAUUGAAGCAAUCAGGAAGGGUGGUGUCGAUGUUCGUGCCGAGCAAAAAGUGGAAGGAGUCCGGAAAUGUUGUAAAAAUGUCGUGCUGAAGCUAUCGGAUGGCUCCGAACUUCGAACUGAUCUGGUUGUGGUGGCAACUGGUGAGGAGCCGAAUUCCGAGAUUAUUGAGGCUUCUGGCCUGAAAAUUGAUGAGAAGCUUGGUGGAGUUCGAGCUGAUAAAUGCCUGAAAGUUGGUGAAAAUGUGUGGGCGGCUGGUGCGAUUGCAACGUUUGAGGAUGGGGUUCUCGGUGCGAGACGAGUGAGCUCUUGGGAGAAUGCACAGAUUAGUGGACGACUGGCUGGAGAGAAUAUGGCGACUGCUGCUGCUGAUGGGAAGUCGGAGGGAAAAGCUUUUUGGUACCAACCAUCAUUCUUCACCAAAUUCGCCCCACAUCUGCAUAUCAACGCGAUCGGAAAAUGCGAUUCCUCACUGGAAACCGUAUCAGUUCAUGCUGAACCAGACAAGGAUACGCCUCUUGAGAAGGCUGUCGUAUUUUAUAAAUCGAAAGAAGAUGGAAGUAUCGUCGGUGUCCUACUCCUGAACGUGUUCGGACCUUCACUGGAUGUAGCUCGGCGUAUAAUUGAUGAUAGGAAGAAAGUGGAUGAGUACAAGGAAAUUGCAAAGCUUUUCCCACUUUAUGAUCCAGUGAAAAGUGAUGAAGACGAUGCGAAGAGUGCUUAG
rnacentral:misc_RNA from 1 species